rnacentral:rRNA from 1 species
GUCGAGCGAAUGAGAGGAGCUUGCUCCUCUGAUUUAGCGGCGGACGGGUGAGUAACACGUGGGUAAUCUGCCUGUAAGACGGGGAUAACUCCGGGAAACCGGGGCUAAUACCGGAUAAUAAGAAGAAACGCAUGUUUCUUUUUUGAAAGUCGGUUUCGGCUGACACUUACAGAUGAGCCCGCGGCGCAUUAGCUAGUUGGUGAGGUAACGGCUCACCAAGGCGACGAUGCGUAGCCGACCUGAGAGGGUGAUCGGCCACACUGGGACUGAGACACGGCCCAGACUCCUACGGGAGGCAGCAGUAGGGAAUCUUCGGCAAUGGGCGAAAGCCUGACCGAGCAACGCCGCGUGAGCGAUGAAGGCCUUCGGGUCGUAAAGCUCUGUUGUUAGAGAAGAACAAGUACGAGAGUAACUGCUCGUACCUUGACGGUACCUAACCAGAAAGCCACGGCUAACUACGUGCCAGCAGCCGCGGUAAUACGUAGGUGGCAAGCGUUAUCCGGAAUUAUUGGGCGUAAAGCGCGCGCAGGCGGUCUCUUAAGUCUGAUGUGAAAGCCCACGGCUCAACCGUGGAGGGUCAUUGGAAACUGGGAGACU